GGGGAGAAGGGGGGGGUAAGCAAGAACUUCCAGAGCAUUCUCCUACUUGCUACUAUUAUCUUUCCUUCUCCUCCAAUCUCCUCUGACUUGAUCGUCGGAGGGCCCCCACUACCCCAGUGGUGGUGCGAGGCUUGCUUGCAGGUUUUCCGGUGGAAAGUGGAGCGCAAUCAACACCAACCAAGGCAACCCAAACGGAACCCCGUUCACACCGCUGUGCCAAUCGUUCUCGGUUUGGACCACCAGCAACAGU
rnacentral:lncRNA from 1 species